rnacentral:rRNA from 1 species
CCAAUAGCGUAUAUUAAAGUUGUUGCAGUUAAAAAGCUCGUAGUUGAACUUCGGGGUUUACUCAUUGGUCAGGCUUAAUUGUCUGUACUGGUGAGAUGAAUCUCUACCUUCUGAGGAACUUUCAUGCCAUUUAUUUGGUGUGGUUGGAAAUCAGGACUGUUACUUUGAAAAAAUUAGAGUGUUUAAAGCAGGCUAACGUCUGAAUACAUUAGCAUGGAAUAAUGAAAUAGGACGGAUUGAUUCUAUUUCGUUGGUUUCUAGGGUCACCGUAAUGAUUAAUAGGGAUAGUUGGGGGCAUUAGUAUUCAAUUGUCAGAGGUGAAAUUCUUGGAUUUAUUGAAGACUAACUACUGCGAAAGCAUUUGCCAAGGAUGUUUUCAUUAAUCAAGAACGAAAGUUAGGGGAUCGAAGACGAUCAGAUACCGUCGUAGUCUUAACCAUAAACUAUGCCGACUAGGGAUCGGACGCAGUUAAUUUUAUAAUGACGUGUUCGGCACCUUACG